UUAAAAAAAAUAGUACUACCCAUAAAACUUUGGGUGAGGCCAAAAGACACUUUUUACUUUUUUUAAUUAAAAUUAAUUAGUCUUUUAGCUGACCUAAACACAUUAAUUAAAUUAAUUUUUUAUUCUAAUUUUAAAAAAAAUUCAUUGUACAAAUAUGGGGUCUAAACGGAAGCCCAAAGUUGAUAUGUGUGUUACUGUUACUGUAAACUACAGCAUAGCCAGUAUACCUGCACGUAUUAGGUAUAAAAUAUGCGUGGGCUAACAUUACUACCUCAGGGGAGACGUGGGUGUGACUGAAACGCAUGACUGUCCGAUUGGUUUACGGUUUUACGUUUGCGUUUUGUUGUAUUCCAAGGGAUACGAGAAGGACGCGUCCUCGUAGGCGGUUCACGGCGACCAACACCACAAGCAAGAGUUAUCUUCAAUGCCUAGUUUGACUUCUUUAGAUUAUCAUUUUUUAUUUUACUUUACAUCUUGUUUUUUUUUUUUUUCUUCAUAUUAUGCUUAUGCUUAAAGCUUCUGCUUGGUUUAACACAUUGACAAAGUUCUUAUUUGGAUGUUUAAAACAAGUAAAGGGACCGGACGUUGUGUAGGUGCUGCUUCUUAUGGUUGAUGAUGGGCGUUGAAAAGAAAUCUGGAAUGUAUAAUAAAUGAAAUUAAUGAGAAAAAAAUUGUGUGCGAAGAGAAGUAUAUAUACUAAAACUGAAUUUAUUAAAUUAUAUAUACAUAUAUAUUUCUCAUUAUGUUAAAUUAAAUUUGUUAACAAAAAUGUUGAAGAUUCUCUUUGAAGCUAAUUGGCAUGACCAAUUUUGAUUU